rnacentral:rRNA from 1 species
AACGAACGCUGGCGGCAUGCCUAACACAUGCAAGUCGAACGAGACCUUCGGGUCUAGUGGCGCACGGGUGCGUAACGCGUGGGAACCUGCCCUUAGGUUCGGAAUAACUCCCCGAAAGGGGUGCUAAUACCGGAUAAUGUCUUCGGACCAAAGAUUUAUCGCCUUUGGAUGGGCCCGCGUUGGAUUAGCUAGUUGGUAGGGCAAAAGCCUACCAAGGCGACGAUCCAUAGCUGGUCUGAGAGGAUGAUCAGCCACACUGGGACUGAGACACGGCCCAGACUCCUACGGGAGGCAGCAGUGGGGAAUAUUGGACAAUGGGCGAAAGCCUGAUCCAGCAAUGCCGCGUGAGUGAUGAAGGCCUUAGGGUUGUAAAGCUCUUUUACCCGGGAUGAUAAUGACAGUACCAGGAGAAUAAGCUCCGGCUAACUCCGUG